rnacentral:rRNA from 1 species
GAUGAACGCUGGCGGCGUGCCUAAUACAUGCAAGUCGAGCGAACGGACGAGAAGCUUGCUUCUCUGAUGUUAGCGGCGGACGGGUGAGUAACACGUGGAUAACCUACCUAUAAGACUGGGAUAACUUCGGGAAACCGGAGCUAAUACCGGAUAAUAUUUUGAACCGCAUGGUUCAAAAGUGAAAGACGGUCUUGCUGUCACUUAUAGAUGGAUCCGCGCUGCAUUAGCUAGUUGGUAAGGUAACGGCUUACCAAGGCAACGAUGCAUAGCCGACCUGAGAGGGUGAUCGGCCACACUGGAACUGAGACACGGUCCAGACUCCUACGGGAGGCAGCAGUAGGGAAUCUUCCGCAAUGGGCGAAAGCCUGACGGAGCAACGCCGCGUGAGUGAUGAAGGUCUUCGGAUCGUAAAACUCUGUUAUUAGGGAAGAACAUAUGUGUAAGUAACUGUGCACAUCUUGACGGUACCUAACCAGAAAGCCACGGCUAACUACGUGCCAGCAGCCGCGGUAAUACGUAGGUGGCAAGCGUUAUCCGGAAUUAUUGGGCGUAAAGCGCGCGUAGGCGGUUUUUUAAGUCUGAUGUGAAAGCCCACGGCUCAACCGUGGAGGGUCAUUGGAAACUGGAAAACUUGAGUGCAGAAGAGGAAAGUGGAAUUCCAUGUGUAGCGGUGAAAUGCGCAGAGAUAUGGAGGAACACCAGUGGCGAAGGCGACUUUCUGGUCUGUAACUGACGCUGAUGUGCGAAGGCGUGGGGAUCAAACAGGAUUAGAUACCCUGGUAGUCCACGCCGUAAACGAUGAGUGCUAAGUGUUAGGGGGGUUCCGCCCCUUAGUGCUGCAGCUAACGCAUUAAGCACUCCGCCUGGGGAGUACGACCGCAAGGUUGAAACUCAAAGGAAUUGACGGGGACCCGCACAAGCGGUGGAGCAUGUGGUUUAAUUCGAAGCAACGCGAAGAACCUUACCAAAUCUUGACAUCCUUUGACAACUCUAGAGAUAGAGCUUUCCCCUUCGGGGGACAAAGUGACAGGUGGUGCAUGGUUGUCGUCAGCUCGUGUCGUGAGAUGUUGGGUUAAGUCCCGCAACGAGCGCAACCCUUAAGCUUAGUUGCCAUCAUUAAGUUGGGCACUCUAAGUUGACUGCCGGUGACAAACCGGAGGAAGGUGGGGAUGACGUCAAAUCAUCAUGCCCCUUAUGAUUUGGGCUACACACGUGCUACAAUGGACAAUACAAAGGGCAGCGAAACCGUGAGGUCAAGCAAAUCCCAUAAAGUUGUUCUCAGUUCGGAUUGUAGUCUGCAACUCGACUACAUGAAGCUGGAAUCGCUAGUAAUCGUAGAUCAGCAUGCUACGGUGAAUACGUUCCCGGGUCU